CCUACGGGGGGCAGCAGUGAGGAAUAUUGGUCAAUGGACGAGAGUCUGAACCAGCCAAGUAGCGUGAAGGAUGAAGGUUCUAUGGAUCGUAAACCUCUUUUAUAAGGGAAUAAAGUGUGGGACGUGUCCUAUUUUGUAUGUACCUUAUGAAUAAGGAUCGGCUAACUCCGUGCCAGCAGCCGCGGUAAUACGGAGGAUCCGAGCGUUAUCCGGAUUUAUUGGGUUUAAAGGGUGCGUAGGCGGCCUUUUAAGUCAGCGGUGAAAGUCUGUGGCUCAACCAUAGAAUUGCCGUUGAAACUGGGGGGCUUGAGUAUGUUUGAGGCAGGCGGAAUGCGUGGUGUAGCGGUGAAAUGCUUAGAUAUCACGAAGAACCCCGAUUGCGAAGGCAGCUUACUAAACUGUGACUGACAUUGAUGCUCGAAAGUGUGGGUAUCAAACAGGAUUAGAUACCCCAGUAGUC
rnacentral:rRNA from 1 species